UUCUCAAUGAAUUCUGUGAAAGUACCAAAGGGAAAGAGUAAGCAUCUAUAUUUGGAAAAAACACAAACUAUUAUUAGGCAGAGAUUUUGGAAGUAGUUGUAAUUUAUCUGCUAUCAGGAGCAAUAGAAAACCAUAUGGAUGAUAAGAAACAUAACCAGGGCAAGGUCCUUCCUGUGUCUGUUGACAGCUAAUAUGCACCAGGAGGGCAAUGCCAUAUGUUUGCAUGUACAUUACCACGGGGGGCACUGACAUAUGUUCACACGUAUGUCACCCCUCUGGCCUGCUGUCAUGAGGCUGUUUCCAAAGGGGACUGCUCCCUUGAAAAACAGAAACAAAACCCAGAAGUGUGAGUCUCCUACAUUCUCUUUGUCAGCCGCUUUUCUAGGAAUAUCACUGUCAUUUGAUGAGCAAUCAGAACAGGUGCAUCAAAGCAACAAAGGCUUCUGUAACCCUCUCCUAUAUCUCUUCAAGGUUGGACACAUCCUCAUAUCAUGUCAAAAGCAGUUCUUGGAAGGAUAAAAAAAAGAGUUUGAGAGGAGUGGCAAAGCAAGAGAAUAAAAAGGUGUAUUCCAGUAUGCUAGUAACUUGAUUUGAAUGCUACUAACUAUACCAAGGGCUCUCCGUGAAAGUUUAAGUAGGAGGAUACAAAGCUUCUUCCUUGUUUUGUGAGAGCAAUCCCAUACAGGAGAAAAAUGGUAUCUCACCAUAAGAGAAAAGUCCUAAACUCCUACACAAAAAGUCCUAACUCCAGAGCUAAUACCAUUUUUUAAUGAGGCCACACAAGGUAAGGAAAUAAAAUUUGAAUCCAGUAAUUAUUUUUAAUAAUUUUUAAAAUAUAUAUGCCUUUUUUUCUCUUUUUGUGCAGUGUUAUGGAAGAGUUGAAAUGGGUGCUCCACUUUAUUUAAUUAUCAUGCUGUUAUGAUCAACUUACAUAUCCUAAUAAAGUUAUAUGGGUUCUUCACUCUUUAUAGAGAGGACAAACAAUACAAAUUUGGUAUCCAAAAUCUCGUCUCCUCAUUAGCUUAAAUGAAACAGCGUUUUAUCUUACUUUUGGUUCACUCUCCUACAUUUGGCUUUAGGCCAUCAAUACUAGACUUAAUUCAAAAUAUCAACAAGGUUCCUGACUGGGCCAUAGGAUGAAAAUUUCUCAUACAAAAUUAGUAAAUACUUUCAAAUCCAAAUAAAUUUGACAAAGCUGUAAUUGCCUUCCUUAUGGAUAAUAUACAAGAGGAAGGCUGAACUUGAAUACAUUAUUUAUUCAAAGUAAUUUGCUUUAUCAAAUAAAAUAGGUUGGAAGUAGAGAUCAGUAAUUGGUAAAAGCAGGUGCUGGCUAAGGACAUGAACCCUAAGGAAAGAAGAGAAACAUACCCUUGUUCAUGGGAAUGAUCAUGAAGGAGUGCAAAUUGGACAGGGGUAAACAGUUGGAGCAAUGAAGAUUUUCAGUGUUGUGGCCAAAGACAGUAAUAUAAAGAAACACAAAAAUUGUUUAAAUUUAUUGACUUUAUUUCAAGAUUUGUUUAAACUUACAAGAAAAAAAAAAGAGAAGAAGCCUAAGAAAUCGUCGAAGAAGAUGGUAGUCAUAGUAGGAGUCAUGCAAGAUAAUCAUAAUAGCAGUGUUUGUCUCCACACUAGUAUUUUGAGAUUUGAACUACAAUAUAUGUAACUUGAGAUUUAUUCUUAAGAUAACUUUGUUAGUUUACCUAAGACCUUUAUACCCAUGGAAUAUUGUUCCUUCUUUUGUGCUGAAUAUAGAAUUGGUUGUGACUGUGAUAAUCAAGAUAUUCUACGAGUUCUUUCCUAUCUGUACGACAUAUUUUUCUUUGAGUGCAUGUAUGUGCAUCUCUAACAAAUGGUAAAAGCAUUUAUUUUGUGAAUACAUGCUAUCAGCAGAAUAUUGUAAAAUAUUAUUUAAAAAUAUUAUUUCUGUUUCUGCAGUACUUGUGCUUCCUACUUUUGUUUUAGUGGGUUUGAACUCCCAUGGACAGAAGGCAAAAAUAUGAUGUGACCUCUCUCAUGUUUUGUUAUUUGCAUUGAAUUCUGAUUUAAUCUUUAAUUUUUACAAUUCAUUUUAUCUCUUUCCUAUUUUUAAAAGUUCAGUGAGAAGUAGACAUUUUCCCUCCUGUAUAUGCCUAUAUAGAAAGCAAGUAUUCAUUUUUAUCACCAUGUCUCAAAAAUUUUGGUUCAUCUGGGGCUUGGCCAGAACUCUACAAACAUCUCUCUUUUGCAAACAGGUUCUAGAGCACUUGGAUGGGCUCAAAUUUACACAGCAUUUUACUACCUGUGCUCUAUCUCAAUGUUUUGCUCUUGCCUCUAGUGUCACAGCAGCAAUAAUCCUGUGGGCCUUGUGCUUGUUCCUGACAAAUGAGCAGUCUCUUAUUCACUUGACAAAAGAAAUGAACUGUUUUGCUGUACUUCAUUUCAGACACACAAAUGUCUCGUGAGUCUAUCUCCAUGGAGAUUGUGAUACAACACAGCAUCUGGAAAUGCAUUUUGAAAACUUAUUCCUCUUUUUCCCCAGCACAAUGAGCUAUCCAGAAUCUUGUGUGUUUUCUUAGCAGCAUUCAACUGAUCUCAAACCCCUUGAAACAAAGCUGGUGUCUUGGAAAAAAUUCUCUAUAUGAGAAGUUUGGGCUACCUUCUUAUUCUUCCCAAUAUUUUCAUCAUCAUUUAAAUAAGCAGGAAUACUCACAACUCUGGGAUAUACCAAUGUUCUCUGCCGUUGUUCAUAAUUUUAUAUUUACUUAGUUUUUGAAAGUGUUCUCUUGUAAAGAGUGGUAAUUAAUUGACUGUCUUUUGGAGGGUAAGAUUUCUUUGUUUGUCAUGUUAUGUCUUGAUUAGGGAGGUCAUUCUUCUUAUGUUAUUUCUUGCAUCAAGGGAAAAUGAAUCAGUUUUAAUGAUGGAAAUGGCAAUUAGUGCUGCUGAGCUAUAGUUUCACGUUUUGACAGAGCUCCUGAACUUAAUAAAUUAUGGAUCAGUAGAGGGGGAAGGAAGGUCUCAAAACUUGCCUGAGCAGCACAUGAACUGGUAGCACACUACAUUGCAUCUCCAUUCAAUAAAUGUCCAUUUCAGUCUGGUUUUGCGGUCAAGUGUGAAGAAGAAACAUCAUCUGUAAUUAAUAACAGUUUUUAAAAAUCCAUAUGAACGCAUGCCAGCACAAGAAAUGAAACAGAGAGAAAAAAGGGCUUGGAAAUGAGAAUAACAAGUGCUUCAGAAUAAUGGUGAAAACCCAGACAACCAGUCUGUGGGGUGAACAGAAGCCUCCAACACUAAGCUUUGUGGGAAACAUCUGAGCUACAGGCCUUUUUAGAACCAUGUUGGACUCCAUAGAGAUAAAAAAUGUAUCAUCACACAGGUUAUUCCACUGUGUCAGGUAAGGCGCAUGUUGCUUCCUCCAUGUAUCUGUGCAUUUUCCCCACCAAGACUGUGAAUACUCAAACAUUUGUGGUUGAAAAAAAAUACAAAAAUCUGUUCUACAGUGUGUUCAUGAGGGCAAUAUUUAUUUUCACCUAUACCCAAAGUAUAACAAACACUGUCUAAAUAUUACUUAUUUAUUAGUACUGAAUACUACUUUCUUAAUAAUAAAGCCAGGUAAAUUUGCAUGGCCACGUAUUUAGACAUGGAUUUUUCUGGAAGAGGAUCAGUAAAAUAUGGCUUCACAGAGGCUCUACAGAAACCCAAGAAAAAUAAUAUAUUAGUCAAAAGGAUAUAUCUCUAACUUUAGAGCUUUAUGGAUCUAUGUGUCCUUUUCCCUGUGGCUUCUUUGCUGCUUCUCUUUUCCAAGUUUACUGUAUAAAAAAAUUACACAAAGGCAGGGUAUAGCUCAACUUGGGCACUGAAUUUAUCAUAUGAAUUAAUAAUUAGCAUGCUCACUGGCAUAAUGUUGGCAUGGCAUGGUUUGCAGAGUGAGUUCCCAUCUGAGGAGUCUGCCCUCAGCAGACAGGCUGAGCACAGCCCCCUGCUCCAGAGAGCAAGGAGCAAAGCUGGCCUCAGUCACGGCUUUCUCCCAGUGUUCACACUGCAACACAGGUAACCUUUAUAGCCUCCAUUCCUGAGAUAUCUCAUGGAUUGAGAAUAUCUUCUCUUCACUCUCUCUGAAGUCCUCUGGAUUAGGGGGAAAAUGUGUUAUCCCCACUUCAGCAGAGAGGAGGGAAGCACAGAACUCCUGAGUGACAGCGAAAGAAAUCCCCUCACAGAGGUGAAGCUUCGAAACCUGGGAACUUUCAUAUGAUUUUCUGAUUCUGUCAUUGAUGUUGGCUAGUAAAUCAGAAUUUGACAUCACAAAGAAAAGUUUGAUUUGGAAGCCUACUAAGAAAUAAAAAUCAGGCUUAGCGCUUUCAUUUACUCAAGACUAACAUUCAUAUUUCUGAAUUCAGUGUAGACAAUGAUCUUUAUACUGACAUAUAAUGUUGAAAACCCAAAUUCAAAUAAUUUAGAAUAAUUUUGAAAACUGAAAAUUCAGUUGCUGCUCUCCCAAGCACCAAGUGGACAUCUGAGAUGCCACCUGAUUGGUGGUAAGAGAGAUGUUGCUAAUCAACCAGUCCCCAUCAUCCAAACUUUUAUUCAAUCACACAAUUUGAUCAUCAGUUUUUUAUUAAAAAAUUACUCUAAGUAUCUUGGUCAUUGUCUUUGCUGCGUUAUAACAGCAACACUUAUUUCAGUUUUAAGAUUUUCUAUUGAAUUCAAUGGUGUUCUAAAUCAACUCACUCUUUAUGAAAAUCCAAGUGAGCCAGCAAAGUAGUACCUGACGGGGCUUGAAAUGUAGGGGGUUUUUUUCAGACUCAGGCUUUCUAAAAGGAGUGAGCUGUUUUGCAUGUACAUUUUGAUAAACUGCUGUCCAAAAGUCAUCCCAAGAAGUUGCAGUUAUCUUGUUUUUAUUUGCUUGUUCAUUUUUUUUUAUGAUACACACAUAUUAGACUGCCACAGCAUAGUAUGAAUAUUGCUCUCUUCACAAUGAGGACAUGGUCUCACUGUACUGGGUCUGGGGAUUUUUUGCAUGACUUCACUAGUAACACAUUAUUUCAGGUCACAUUUUAUCAGCUAGCUCAACAAGAAUGCCAGUGACUUUCACCUUGUUCCAGCUCCCUGUAAACAUAGUAAUUGCCAAAAUUAUAUUGUCUUUUAUUUACUUAACAAGCAGUACUUUUCAAAAUAAAUAGUCUGUCAUGAGCAAACACAAAUGCUAGCAGCAGUCAUAAGUCUUCCAUGCUUUCAAACACAGCUUCUAGCAUUUUAAAAGCAGACUGAGAAAACACUGGUGUGAGGAAGAGGUGCUUCAGCCCACUGUCUUGCUUGAACUUUCCCCACCAAUGUCCUGUUGCCAUUAUUCCGGGCAUUGCUCCACCCACGGGUGACAGCAAUAAGUACUUGCAAAGCACCAGUGGGGUUAUCAGCCUGCCUAACCUUGUCAAAGUGUAUCAGACUGUUUGGUUUGCAGAGGCACAUUUUUCUUGCCAUUACUCUGGUCCUUUUCUACCAGGGAUGAAUGGCCACAAGAUGUUUCUAGGAGCAGGCAGAAAAUAUCUAAGGAGGCAAUAUGUGAGCUUCCUGUCAAGUGGACAUUUGUAUUUUUAACAUCGUUUCUCUGCAAACAUGUGUCAUCACUUUUGUCUUUUACUCUGCUUAGGUCUUGGUCUUGCACACACAUUGGCGCUUCAUACUGCCCAGCAUCUGACUGAGUGCUUUCAGCUCAGGCCUCCUCCGUAAGUUAAGUUAGUGGGAACUUUCUGCAUGAUUUCAAAAGGUGUAUGCUUGAUGACUAUCUAACCUAAUAUAUGCUUGUGGUAGGAUUUUCAGCACUACUUUGCAGAAGUUUUCUGUACAGGUAUGAGACAAUGGAAGAUCUCUUAUUUUAAAGCAAUCUUUUUUUUUAAUUAGGAAAGAUUUCAUCUUGCUUUACUAUAAAAUUAAGUGUAGUUAUUAUUUUUAAGUACCAUUCUAAUUUUAGAAGGUGAUAAUUUAGUAUGUUAGACUGUCGUAAUCUAGGGAACAGGCAGAAUCCUCUCUGACAGAGUUCUAAACAAUUGUACCUUCAAACCCUUAAAAGUUAUGAUAUGCAGUUUUCCCAUUUCCCUCUAUCCCAUCGAGCAUAUAUUAGUCAUUCUUAGUAUAAACUAUUGAAAUUAUUCAGCCAGUUCACAGUGUUGUUUUUAAAAUGAAAAAUGCUAUGAUCUUUUAAUGUCUUCAGUGUUAUAAUAUGUACUAAAUUAGAAGAACCCUGAUGCUCUGAUAAUUUACACCACAAUGUGCUAUUUAAAACUGGAAGCCCAGCAGGAGAUUUUAUUUUUAUUAAUUUAGUAUAAUUUUAAACAUUACAAAAAUAGCUGUCUCACAGCUUCCCUGCUGAGCCCUAGAUUGUUGCCACAGCCUGUGCAAUACUUUAUCAGGAGAGUAACAUCACUAUAAAUACUGCAUAGUUGAUUCUGGCUUCAACACAGAAUACAAAAGGAUGCGGAAGACUGAAGAAGAGACAAAGAAAAAACAGGGCUUGCUUUGUUUUACAUUUUGUCUGCCUUUUUUUCCCCUGCUUGCUUCUAAAACUUCUUUUCUUACAGGUUUUUCUCUAAGGGUAGCUGUGAAUUGGUAGUCAAGGCCAAAAGGCUGAAGAUCCACAUUGUAGUUAACUUCAGAUGUAUCACACAAUGCUGCUGUAGGAAAAUGAGUUUUACUCUACCUCCUUUGUCUAUUGCCCUGCCAUUCUUGUGGAUUAAACAUUAGUGGAAUAUUACUGUUCAAGUCUAACAUGUAUUAUUAAGAGCAACCUCCUAUGAAUUGCAGCUUUCCAGUUUUAUGUACACAACUGGCUCACAUCUGCUCUCCUUUGUGUGUAUUUAGUGAACUUACAUCUGCCUGAUAAAAAAGGCAACUGUCAGUUACCAUAUCCAAUCUCUCAGCAGCACCAGGGAUGUCAGAUCCAGUAGGCAUAACAUCUUUUGGCCCUUUUAUCAUGCUUGUCACCUCUUUGAAUGAGCUGAGUUGACCAAAAACUCUUGCCAGGAGUGCCACCUUCCAAGGAGCCUCUGCCCCUUCAGCAGCAGAGGAGUCUUGGCAAUGAAGCAAUAUUUGCUGUGCAAAAGAUGUGGUUUCAGGUACCAGCUGCACUUUUCAUAAGGGAAAGCUGGGAUGGACUGCUGGAGGGGAGAACAGACUGUGAUUGAAAGUUAUUUUAAAAAGAUAUGAGCUUCUAAAUUAAAAUUAAUUGUGAAACUCUUCAGUGCCGAUGUUAUUUAUAUUUAUUUACUGAUCAGUAUUACAGUUUAUAUUACAGAAAUUUAUAGAAUAAUUUAAUUUAUUAAUUUUUUACCGGCUGGCUGUAUCUUCUACCUGGUUUCCAGGUAAUAUUCUUAAAGUAAAAUGCGAAAACUGAACAAAACUCUAUUCCAAAUGUUUACAAUGUACCAUUGCAACUCUGGUAAGGCAAAGCAUAUUUCACUGGCAGCAACUGAUUUCCUUUUAAAACUCCUGUAGUUUUCACAAAAAUUAUGUGACUUGACAGUAGAAAUGUGAUUAGUGCAUAGAAAUGUGAUUAGUCCCCCAUUUGAACAAGAGGACCUUCUAUUCAAAACAAUUGGUGCUUAGAUGUUAUAUGCCAUAUAUAUUUUGAUUGAGUGACAUGUAGGCAAUUCAGCUGUGCCUCAGACAGGAGCUGCAUGUUCACCUUUCUGGGGCAGAGAAGGAAGGCAACCUUCUUCCUUGAUGAGCCACCAAUUAACCCUAAUUAAAGAAAUAUUUUUCUUUGAAUAAUAUUAUUACUGACUAAAAGUCCUCCUCGGCUAAUUAACAGGCAAUUGGCCACCCCACCUGUAUGGACUGAGAGCUGCUCAGGUAAACAUUUUCAUCACUGAAAUAUUUGUUGUUAAAAAUUCUUUCUCUGUCCCUUGUGCUGUGAUGUUUACACCUGUGUACACACAUACAGGAAAUAACAAUUCAUUUGCAACUCUCUUCUUUUUCCACAACUGCCAGGAGAAUGUGAGUGAGGUAAGUCAUUCCAAGGAUAUUGGAAGAAAUGAGGCAUGAAAUAAAAGCCUUCCUGCACUAUCUGCUGAUCCUCAGGAAUGUAAGGCAACCUGCUGUAUUAAAGAGAAGCAUCCAGGCUAUUAAGUAAGGCACUAGGACAGCGAGGAGUGAGUCCUGUGUGAGACACUCGUCUGAGAUGAUGACAUCAAUGUCCUCAGAACUAUUGCUCCAAGUUCAUGAUUAUGAGAUCUGCAAGAUGUCUCACAUGUUAUUCUUGUUCUUGGCAAUGUCAGGGGACUUAAAAACAAGAUUUUACAUAAUGCACUUUUCUUUUUUUAGACAUUUUAUGAACUGGGUGUACCCACUGACUGUGUUACAAAUAACGUAGUAUUGAGCAGCUUUCUGCUAUUAAUAUUAUUAGUCAUACUAAUUAAGUUAAUCAAGCGAAUCAAUCCCAGCAGUGUUCCAGCUGUUUCAUGAACAAAAGCUGAAGGACUCUGAAUGGCUUGUACGGAGCAGUGUCCUGUAGAAAAAAGUGGGAUUUUGCUACUUAAGUCUGGAAUUUUCUUUUCACCUGGUGAAAGGUUCUUAUCCGAAUUAGUUCUGCUGUUAACUCAGUAGGCUUGCAUGACAAGAUGACUCAGAAAAACACUGCCACAGACCAGUAGUGGAGGAGAUUUUGGGUUAGGAGGAUUUGGAGGUCUUGCUCUGAGGACAUUGAAACAGCCCUAUAGAAUGAUAACUGUCCUGAAAGGAAUAUUGAUAUAUAGGUAUCAUUGUCUUUCAUUAAAUUGCAAUAGGAAAGAUGACAUUGCAAUAGUGAUUGGACCAGCAUGAUAAAUUCAGGUUUAAUAUUGUCUUCAUGUUGAACCAGAAAUCUUCAUCCUGUUAGUCCAGGUAGCACAAGUUCUUUAUAUUUCAGCAAUAAGAUCUAACAUUGCACAGUUGUUCCAAAGUACAUAGAAAAUAUGUGGUUUUGUAGUCUUUUUCUAUUCAUAUCUCAUCCAUAAUACUGCUACAGAAGCCAAAAUAUGAGAAGAUUUCUGAUUUGUCUCUCCAAGAACAAACCUACUGAAAAAUAGAUGUUUUGGUGUGGAGAGCCAUGUACAUGGAUGUGGAAAAAAGCACAUAUAAACUUAAUGUUUUUCUUGUGUUGUAAAAUGGGGAUUUUUACAUCAGAUUAUGGACAGCAGGUUAUGACUUCUGCUAAGAAUACUACACAUGUAUGUACAGAUUGUGAAUUCUACAUUUUUUUAAAACUUGAAAUUAAAUGUGUUGUCUGUGACAAACAUUAGAUUGCAAUUCUCCAAGACCAGUUAUCAAUUCACUAUAUUUUCAUGAAGAGUAAACAUAUAAAAUAACUUCAAAGAAUCAUGAUGUUGUUUGCCAUAAAUUAUAUUUUUAGUAAACUAUACAUAAAUUACCUAUUAGUUUAAAGGUACAUACAUUUUGAUCUAUUCACAUUUGCUUGAGCCACAGCUUGCCUAAGACCACAGGCAUUACAAAAAAAUAUUCUAGAUAUGCUAAAAACUGCUUGAACCUUUUUCAUUGUUUCUUAGUAAGGCACAUACAGCUUUUUAUUAAAUUAUUUUCUAAAUGUUAUUUUGUAAAGAAAUUUAAUAAAAUUUACUACUCUGCAAUCCAUUGAGCACUUCCUAAUUUAAUUUUCAUAUUCUGCAUUUCCUGGGAUUUACAAUUAAAAUCGUGAUGAGCCAGACAUUCAAAGUCUUACAUGUGUGAGAUUUUAUUAUUUUUUUAAAUAAAAAAAUAUCAACAAGAUUUUGGUUUUGUAAAAUAUUUUCAAACUAAAAGGUGCAAGUAAGUGAGGCCUUUUAUACAUAGAUUAUGAAGUUUUUACUAAGUUUCACAAACUUUUUUCUCUUCUUCUUACUUCUUUACCCACUCAACCCAUUGGCAAAGUAGACUGCUUAUGCCAAUGCCAGAUACAGUUAAUAGAAAAUAAUAGCUCUGAUGUUUUAUACUCUCCGACAUUGAUCAAAUAAAAUUAAAAAAUCCUAUUCUCCAGAACAGACACUGUCAUUAAAAUUCUUGCAGAUUUAUUUACAUAAAACUCAGCGUGUUUGUAACCAAGAAUGAGCCAUUGUGCUCAAGAGUUAGCUCAUUUUACUACUAUUUUAUUAUGCAAAGUUCUUGGAGAUCCCUGCAGAUCAAUACCUUUAUUUCUUGUACAAUAAUAAUGCCUUUAUUUUUAUUUUGCAUUUAGGACACAUUUUGAACCUUACAGAAUAUUGCCAAGUUUGCAUUCAUUUCUUCACCCAUUUUCUGAAAGACUAUGUGGUGUUGCACCACUAGCUCAGAAAAAGAAGCACUCCAAACACACCUUAGGGGUUCUGGGUCACCUAGACCUUCUUAUGAUCCUGCUAGGUGGAAUAAUUUAUCCUGUCCUGAGCUUGGUGAGGAUAUUUUACCUAGUCUCUGAACUGAGUAUGCACUAAAAGUACAAAUGCAGUAAUGUUUGCAUUUACUCAGUUAUUCAGCCAAAGUCACUCAGGACUCCAAGGAGCAACUUGCAGUUUUGAAAUUGAUGUUCAAACUUUCACCAUUUUCAUAUACAUAGAGCUCUUCUCAAAGUUUUGUAGUAAUUUAAAUUGAAGUUAUUUUGUAUGGUUUGAAAGUAGCUUCUCUUUAGGCUUAUAUUGGAACAAUAAUAUACCUAGUUUAUAGGAGGACACGUUUAAGGAUUGAGAGCCUUCUAUAACUUCCACCUUACAGAAAAAAAAACUGCAAACCCAGAUUUCAUAGAUGUCACUAGGAGACCAUGACAAACAUUUGGCUCCAAAAACCAAACAAGCUCACAGGGCAGUGCAGUGCCAGAAGAGUUGUAGACUUAGAGGGCUUUGUAGUUUGGCUGCAGUUCUGAAAUAACAUUUGUUACAAAAAACCCCAGUUCUAAUAAUUUUCUGGGUCUGCCUAGGCUCCUCUCAGCGUUGGAAAUCAGUGCUCUGCCACUGGAUUUCUGUCAGCAGUGAGUUGUUUCUUAGGUGUUUAAUUGGGAAGGAGCAAAAUACGAGUGCCACCCAUGUGAUGACUGGGACAAGGGAUGCCUUGGUUUAACAGGAUACAGCUGGUCCUCUUGGAUGCUGAGCCCUGCUCAGGGUAGACUGCAGUGGAAUGCAUAAUGGAAAUGGUGUCAGAAUGAAUAACACACAUGUGCACAUAAUGUUGCCUCCACUGUGGUGUUUUUAGACUUUCCAGCAUUACUUCAAGGUCUCUUACAAGACACAAGUUUGCUGAAUAAAAAAAUGUAAUUCAGGUCUUAAGCAAAAAUGGUGUAUAUGAGGUAAGAAAACAAGUUAUAAUUUCAGGUGCAAUUCUAAUCAAUAUUACUGAUAGUAGACUGUUCUGCUUUUAUUUUUUUUUUUUUUUAUUAUUUUUAAGAAUUAUCUUUGAGUGGCUCCUAAACUUUGCUUAGAACUUAAAGAGCUGAUUUCAACAGAAAGGGUUUGCAAGGAAGAAAUUAUACCAUAUUUUGCUAGAUUUCUUCACUGAGUGGCCUUUUGAUCUCUUCCAACAGACAUGUUUGUAGCACCUACUGACAAGAUGCCAAUCAAUUAUGGAGAACAAAUGAGUCAGGGAAAAAGCAAGGGCUUCGUAUUACAAGCAAAGGAUCCUUUUUGUCUAUCUCUAAUCACUGUCUCAGCCACAGCAGUUGAAAAGGAGGAUAGAGGACAGAUGCUUCUAAUAUUCUCCAAGUUUUUGAGAAUUUUGUAUAUAAGUCAAAAAACCCCAUGAAUAUCAACAGCACUAUCUCUUAGAGAAGUUAUGAUCUUUAGUGUCUCUCUCAGAUUUCCAUAAGCCUGCUUAUACACAUUCUCAAGGAGUUAUACUCGUGUGCAAUUAAAAUGAAAUACUAAUUGAUAUUAAAAAAAAAGACUGUGCUUGCAGAAUAUAACUCCAUUCUAAUGAAUUUCAUAAUACAUUUAUUCAGUGGAGAAAAGACUUUUUUUAGCCAGCAAAAUCAAUUUUCUGAUCUCCAAAUGGACAUUUUAUCCUCUACUCUUCUGAUCUUCUGGUGGCAUCAUGAAUUUCACAGACAGCUUUGUUAAUCAGCAGAGUGCUUCAGAAGAGAGUUUCCUCAGCUAAAUAUAGUUACUAUUUCUCUUUAAACAUCCAUGUUUUAAGUUCCUGAAUUAUAACUUUGAACCCAACAUUCCUACAAUAUUGUUGUACUUACAGUAUGCAAGAGGCUAAGGUAGAGUUAAUUAGUUCAGAGAAUACUGCGAGUGGUUCAGACUAUAAUUUAUGGGGACUAUAUUGUGGUUUUUUUAUAAAAGAAAUAUAUACAUUAUUAAUUUUGUACCUCAGUAUUCCUAUGCCUUUGCUGGCACUUUCACCAAGUUUUUUUUUUCUGAAAUUUCAGAUUGUGUUAUGGCAGAUUAAGACAUCUAAAUUGUAUUCCACGUGUCAGUGGCCUUCAAAAUAGGAAGUACUCUGAAAUACGUGUUUCCAUUUGCUGCCAACUUUAACUUUUUAGUGUUUGUUUUAUUUUUAUUUGUUAGUUUGUUUUAUUUCUCUGUUUUACUGUUGAAUUCUGGUAUUUAUUCUGGUCUGCUUGAUAUAAGCAUUGACUUUAAACUAUUCUAAGAGAAAUUGUUCAAUUGAGAAGAAGGGAAAAAUGUUCCUGCUUGAGAGCAUCAUGAUAAAAUGAUUACACAUGCUCACAUAAAAUGAAUAUUUAUGUUAUUCUGUCUCUGAUAAGUUCAGUACUUUUGUAACUGUCACAUAGGUUAAGACAGAAAUCUUGUUAAUUGUCUAGAGAACAAAAGUAAUCUCACAUAUUCUGGAAGCCUUCAGUGAUAGCUGUGUCACACAGCAGAAUAAUCUUAUGCAACAUGGAUUAAGGUGUACAGUGACUCUUUAGCUAAACUAGAUACAUGUUUUGAGUUAAAGUCUUAACAAUCAAUGAUGAAAACAUGUCAGCACUUCAAAAGAUUGUUCCAUCUUCAACUACUUUGUAUUUCCUUAGUUUUCUCUAUUGUGAAUAAAAAUUAAGGAAUUAAGUUUUAUCUGAAAAAAUUUAUAAUUAUUUUCAAACACUUUAUAUCCAGCUUUAUCUGUUUAUAUAUAAACAAUAUUCUUGUUCUGUUGUCAACGUUACUGAGCUUAUUUCUACUAACACAUCACAACUAUGUACUAAAAAGCAUAAACUGUAUAUUGAAAUCUAUCCAUUAUGUAGAUACCAGCAAUGCUUAUGUUACAGAGGUUUUGGUGUUCUUUUUUGGUUCUGAGACUGGAAUAAAGAAUGAACACUUUGGUUUACAAUCUAAUUUGGGGGAAAUGAGAAGUGAUGAAAUGUCAUGAAAAGAAAACAAACCUCUGAAAUAAAGCAGAACUAUUACACAACACAAAUAAAAUAACUCCUCUGUAACUCGUAAACAACACUAAUGUCCAUUCCUAUUAUUCACUUAUUUGUAAAUAACUGACAUUAUGGCUGUGCUUAAAGUCAAGCAUGUCACUAUUGCAGCAGUGUGGACACCUGUUGCUCCUUACCCAGUAAUUCCUCCACUAUACAGCCUUGUAAAAGGGAUCCUGACUCUUUUGUCUGCCUCAAAUCAGCACAAUUUGCACAAGAUGGGAGAGGAGUUUGCUGAGCAGAAACGUCCAGAACCACCCAAUUCACACUGCCAGUAAGGGUGUAAGUGUCAAAAGAGAAAGGGCUAGAGCUGCCCUGUGAUCUUUUCCUGAAGCACAACCAGUACCUUUCCAGGCAGUGGCAUAGAAAGGGCAGCCAGGCUGUAAGUGUGCUCCAAGGAAAAUGCAAAUAUUGCCACUGUGGAAAAAACCUGGUUGAAGCUGACACUUCUCCAGGCAGAUUUCUCAGCCCAGUCAAGAGUCAGCUGAAGAAUAAGAAACAAAACUCCCUGACAAAAUCUCUCUGCAUCCUAUCAAGUGAGACACAAAUCUGUAGUACUUACAAACUGCAGUGACACCAUUCUAAAACAAUGGCAUCAAACAGCAACAUCCAAGGCUUCAUGAACACAAUUUACAAUGUGUAUAGCACACUAUUGCAAUUGCAGAUGGCCCAUAUAGCAAAAAAGUAAAAACAGGUUUCUUUUUAUGCAUUUAGGUUGUAGGUAAAUAUUGGUUAAAUCUGUUCUGUUUACAUGGAUUUCCAAGGUAUCAGCCUGAGAAAUCAUGAAUCUCAAUAAUGCAUAGGUGAUGGAAACACUUACUGUGCCUUUGAAGUAUUUUUUGCAUUUGAAACUCAUGUAUACAAAAUACAUUUCCAAUAUCUCUCUCAAUUUUCUUUGAUAUCUAAAAGUGUACAUGUGAUUUAAUUCAUGAAAAUAUUUCAAAGUUCUGUCCUUUUCAAAUCAGUAUUAAUACUUUUAUUUACUUCAAUAAAGAAAUUAUUUCACCAUCAAAAAUAUAAUCAUUCUACAUUUCCCCAAAUCAGCUGGUGGAAAUAAUUUCUAAGAUUGCUUCUUUUCCCUCUUUAAUUAUUUUAGGAAUGGUUUCAUAAGAACUAUACUUUUACAGCUUCAAGGAAACACAUAAGUUUCAUAGUCAUUAAAGACUAUGCAUUUUUCUUUAAUAAAUAACUCAUUUUCUGCUCACUGGAAAUUUUGGCUCUGUCCUAUAAGAUAUACAAAACUUAUACUUGUGUUUUGGGGUGAGAUUUUUUGCAUGUGUGUUUUGCUUUUUUAAAAAAUAGAAAAAUAGAAAUCUGUGUGUCUGAUGAGUUGUAAGUGCUUGUGUCUAGUUUGCAUUAUUUUUUUUUUAUUGAGUAAAUGAAUUAAAAAUUUUCUGUUAAAAAUUGGUUAGUGGAAACCAGAAAAUAUGGACAUUUUCUGUGUGUCAUGACUAGGUUUCACAAUUGCCUUUUGAGAAGUACAUGUAAUACAAUACUUAUCUUCACUUUGUGAUAUUUAUUUGUGGAGUAUAAUUUUAUAGGAUAUUUUCUUAUAAAACAAACUCCUGUCAAUAAGGCUUUUGCUUAAAAAUAGUAAUAACAAACCCUUGUGUCUCAGUCAAAUUGAUUUUUCUGAUGAGAACCUUGGAAAAAGUUGUUAUUAUUUUUUAAUCCAUCACACAGACACUAUAUGAGAAUAAAUCAAUGCUGCAGUUUUAGUUUAUUGUAUAUCUCUUUUUCAUGGCCCUUCAUUUUCUUCAUUCCUCACCAAAGAACAACCAGUCGAUCAAAAUUUAUUAGCUAGUGUUGACCUAUUUGGAUCUAGUUAGAAACUGUGGUCUCCUACCUUGGCCUUUUAGUGAAAUUUUCUAUGUAGCUGACCAGAAAUACUAUUAUGUUUGAGAAUUUGAAUCUACUUUAGUGUUCCCCUAAAUUUAAGGGCUUAAGAAUAAGUUUUAGACUUCCUGUAUUGCUAUUAAAGGAGAAUGAAGGUCCUGUUUAAUUUAUUAAAGAUGAUGGACUUGCAUUAUUAUUAGAGUAGUAGUAUUUUAUAUAAAAGCCAAAGGAGGAUGUUCAUUUAUAAGGCAACUUUUCCCAGAAUUCAAAUUGGUGGUAAUAGCUAAUGGACAGUUAAAAUGUGGUGUUAGUCACCACUUGACAUUGUGAGCUAUGGCUGAAGUAGGUGAACACCUCUGAGUGCUAAAUGAUCCUUGGGGUAGGUGAUGGAAGAAACACAUACUCGGAUUGGACUCCACAGAUUCGAAGAUAUGGCAACGUUCUACAUUACAUCUUUCAAAUAAUAAGGCAGUCCUACAAGUGGUUGAUUGAGAAAUUAUAUUAUUUUACUCUGUCUUACAAAUCAAAAGCAGGAAACACUGAAAAAUAUCUUGCCUUUCCAUCAAAGAAUUGAAUAAUCCUUGUAUUUUCCUUUACUGAUACUGAGUGACUAAGGAUGACAAUCUCUCCACUCCUCUGAUGGGCAGAGAUGUCAUAUCUUACUUUCUCAAUACAAAUGUUUCUGAAAGAGGAUAGUAUUUACUAAAAUUGUCCUUAUUUUAGAAAUACAUUUUCUAAUCUGAUGUACUAUUUAUUAAAUAACUUCUUCAGUGACUGUGUAUAUCUUAGUGCAUACUCUCAUAAAAUCUGCUUUUUGUGUGCUCA